rnacentral:rRNA from 1 species
GACGUAGGGCGCGAGCGUUGUCCGGAUUUAUUGGGCGUAAAGAGCUCGUAGGCGGUUUGUCGCGUCUGCCGUGAAAGUCCGGGGCUCAACUCCGGAUCUGCGGUGGGUACGGGCAGACUAGAGUGAUGUAGGGGAGACUGGAAUUCCUGGUGUAGCGGUGAAAUGCGCAGAUAUCAAGGAGGAACACCGGAUGGGCGAAGGCAGGUCUCUGGGCAUUAACUGACGCUGAGGAGCGAAAGCAUGGGGAGCGAACGGG